rnacentral:rRNA from 1 species
AUGGAGUUCACCGCCGCGGACAUCUUUCAGCACUCGCCCUUUGACGACACCCUGAAUUCUCUAAAGUCUCUCUCUUUAUCAGGAGAGCCCUGGCCGGAUUACGGUCAGCGAGGAUGGGAUACGAACGAUGAAGAAAUUCAAAGCCCACCCACCACCCACUUGGUAGCCACUGUCGACAAUUUAAACGACGUGCUCAACUGCGACUCCGGAGACAUCGACAGCAUGGAUGACGAUGCAGGAGAUAUCGACGAACCAACGCCCAUAGGGCAUUGGACAGCCACCUCAUCUCACGAUGUGUACAUGGUGGAUACCCCUAAAGGAAGCGACAACGAGGAAAAAGGGAAUGGGACGGAAGAUCGACCCCCCGAAAAGCAAUCAAAGCGUCGGCGUAAACGCCGACCCAAGCCCCGCCUUGACAAAAACCCAGCCAUAGAGCAGGACGAACCGGUAGACGACGAGCAGGCCUUAGAGCAACCGUCCGAACAAGGAAACACGGAUAGAGAAACCGAACAUCCCUCCUCUGGCGAAAACGGCAUUCUAGACGACCUCACGCCGAAUAAACCUAGGGAGCAAAAGAAUCUCCACGAGAGGCUCGUUGCAACUGCACGCAGCCUAAAAAAGCAGAACCGGAAGCUAAAAAUAGCGGAAGACGCACUCCGCAUUAGAUGGAGCAAGGUAAUCAAUACCACAGAUAAGUACGGCGACAAUCGCUGCACUAAAAGCUAUCCAAAAAGAAAGCUACUGCCUGAAUUCGACGAAGAGGCCCUAGAGCCCUCGCAUUCAAAACAUGAAAAAGCCACACGGUCGGAUAGACGACCCCACAAAGCGGCAAGCGACGCCGCACCUAAAUCGGCAUGCGACCCACUUAAGGAUUCGCAUCAUGGCCCAGUCAGGUCCAUUUAUGGGCCAAGAAAUCAAGAUCUCGUAAGCAAUGCCAUGAAGCCAUCGUUAGAAUCCGGCACACCCAAAUACAGGGGCGCCGCACACCCCCUAUGUUUCACCGAUAAGGUCCUGGACUAUGAAUUCCCAGAGGGAUUCAAACUCGUAAACAUAGAGGCAUAUGAUGGAACAACAGACUCUGGAGUCUGGAUCGAGGAUUAUAUCCUCCACAUACACAUGGCUAGAGGAGAUGAUCUCCACGCCAUAAAAUAUCUACCCCUUAAGCUUAAAGAGCCAACCCGACAUUGGCUUAAAAGCCUUCCAGAAAACACAAUUGGAAGCUGGGAAGAGCUCGAGGAUGCUUUUCGAGCAAACUUUCAAGGGACCUAUGUCCAUCCCCCGGAUGCAGACGAUCUUAGUCACAUAACUCAACAACCCGGAGAAUCAGCUCGGCAGUUCUGGAAUAUAUUCCUCACUAAAAAGAAUCAGAUAGUCGACUGUCCGGACACCGAAGCCUUAGCAGCUUUUAGGCAUAAUGUCUGA